rnacentral:RNase_P_RNA from 1 species
UCAGGUGGCCGGAUGGCCGCUCCCGGGUGCGCCCCGGGGGAGGAAAGUCCGGGCUCCAUGGAGACACGGUGCCGGGUAACGCCCGGCGGGGGCGACCCCAGGGAAAGUGCCACAGAGAGCAGUCCGCCUCACCGCGCACCAGCCUUCGGGCUGGUCGCUGGGGUCAGGGUGAAAGGGUGCGGUAAGAGCGCACCGCGGGGCCGGCAACGGUCCCGGCAGGGCAAACCCCACCGGGAGCAAGACCAAGUAGGGACGACGGCCCUUUCGGGGGCAGGCCCGUUUCCAGGCCGGUCGUCCGGGUCGGUCGCGCGAGGUGCCCGGCGAUGGGCAUCCCAGAUGAAUGGCCAUCCAGCGGCCUGUUAUCCACAGGCUGUGGACAGAACCCGGCUUACAGGCCGCCUGAUCAU